rnacentral:rRNA from 1 species
UCUGGCGGAAAUGGCGGAGGGGUCACACCCGUUCCCAUUCCGAACACGGCCGUUAAGCCCUCCUGCGCCGAUGGUACUUGGGACGUUGGUCCCUGGGAGAGUAGGUCUCCGCCAGAC